AUUGCAUUCGCCGUGCGAGAUGCUACGCGUAAGAUUCUCGUCGCGCUGUCGCAUGCAGCAAAUUUUGGUUUAGUUCUUAUCACAGGUACCGUGUCUAUUGCAAGUCGCGCACAAUGACGCGUGCCAUCGACGCACCGUCGGCUUUGCGCAUCUAUUGCUUUCUUAUCAGAUACUGUCGCGUUGUUGCUUGCACAGUUUGCAGCCAGUUUCGUGCCGGUCUCUGUUUGGUUCACGUGUAUUUUACACCACUCGUAUUGUUUGUCCGGACAUUUACUUUCUAAAUUUGCAUUAUAUUCGCUCAUCAAUCGACUAUAAUAAUGUUAUUUACUGUUUGCGCGUAUAUAGUCCAUAAAUGCCGGUUAAGUGUAUCGCCCCCAUGUUGAUUUGAUAUUCAUCAUGAGGAUGACCCAUCGUGCUGGUUUUUUGCUGUGCCUUGGAGUUCAUGAGUUUUGCAUUGGGAUUUUGCACCUGAGUCUAACAUCGUAGAAGGACCAUUUUGGUAUCAGAUUGGAUUUUGCACCUGAGUCUGACAUCGUAGAAGGACCAUUCUAGUAUCAGAUUGUAAGUAAUUAAUUCUUUUAUCAUUUUCUAAAUUAACUUUUGUGAUUAUCGUACAAAUUGAUCCCGAAAAGUGCAUUUUUAUGUUCGAAGGACUAAUUUUUGAUGGUUUUAGGGAUUUUGCACCUGAGUCUGACAUCGUAGAAGGACCAUUCUGGUAUCAAUAUUCAUAUAAACGUUUCUAUUCGUGUGAGGUUCACCAUUUGGUAGAUUAAUAAUUCCCACUGCUGCUUUUGUUAUUGUUGGUUUCCGGAUGUGGAAUUUGUGGAUUUGUAGCGUUAGGUGGUGGAGUUGUUGGGCCAUUGCUGGUUAUACUCCCUGGGCGACUCAAUGGCGGCCGACUUACAGUUCCAUUACUCACAGGAUUCAAAUAUCCUUCUGAUUUUGCACCUGAGUCUGACAUCGUAGAAGCACCAUUCUUGCAUCAGAUUGGAUUUUGCACCUGAGUCUGACGUCGUAGAAGCACCAUUCUUGUAUCAGAUUGGAUUUUGCACCUGAGUCUGACAUCGUAGAAGGACCAUUCUUGCAUCAGAUUGGAUUUUGCACCUGAGUCUGACAUCGUAGAAGGACCAUUCUUGUAUCAGAUUGGAUUUUGCACCUGAGUCUGACAUCGUAGAAGGACCAUUCUUGCAUCAGAUUGGAUUUUGCACCUGAGUCUGACAUCGUAGAAGGACCAUUCUAGUAUCAGAUUGGAUUUUGCACCUGAGUCUGACAUCGUAGAAGGACCAUUCUUGCAUCAGAUUGGAUUUUGCACCUGAGUCUUACAUCGUAGAACCACCUUUCUUGUAUAAGAUUGUAUCUAGCAGGCGAACAAAUUGUCCUAGGACAACGAUUCUUUCAUCAGAAUGUGUCUAGCAGGCGAACAAAUUGCCCUAGGACAACGAUUCUUUCAUCAGAAUGUGUCUAGCAGGCGAACAAAUUGCCCUAGGACAACGAUUCUUUCAUCAGAAUGUGUCUAGCAGGCGAACAAAUUGUCCUAGGACAACGAUUCUUUCAUCAGAAUGUGUCUAACAGGCGAACAAAUUGCCCUAGGACAACGAUUCUUUCAUCAGAAUGCGUAUAGCAGGCGAAC